UGUGCACUCUCAAAUGCUCUUUCAAAUUACCUGCUUGACUAAAUUGCUUAAAACAAAUUUCACACUUGUGAGGUUUUUCUCCAGUGUGCACUCUCAAAUGUGGUUUCAAAGAACCUGCUUGACUAAACUGCUUAAAACAAAUUUCACACUUGUGAGGUUUUUCCCCAGUGUGCGCUCUCAAAUGCUCUUUCAAAUUACCUGCUUGACUAAAUUGCUUAAAACAAAUUUUACACUUGUGAGGUUUUUCUCCAGUGUGCACUCUCAAAUGUGGUUUCAAAGAACCUGCUUGACUAAACUGCUUAAAACAAAUUUCACACUUGUGAGGUUUUUCCCCAGUGUGCGCUCUCAAAUGCUCUUUCAAAUUACCUGCUUGACUAAAUUGCUUAAAACAAAUUUUACACUUGUGAGGUUUUUCCCCAGUGUGCGCUCUCAAAUGCUCUUUCAAAUUACCUGCUUGACUAAAUUGCUUAAAACAAAUUUUACACUUGUGAGGUUUUUCUCCUGUGUGUACUCUUAAAUGCUGUUUUAAAGUACAUGCUACACUAAAUUGCUUAAAACAAAUUUCACACUUGUAAGGUUUUUCUCCUGUGUGUACUCUUAAAUGCUGUUUUAAAGUACAUGCUACACUAAAUUGCUUAAAACAAAUUUCACACUUGUAAGGUUUUUCCCCAGUGUGCACUCUCAAAUGCUGUUUCAAAUUAC